UCGGGAAUUUUGGGCAAUGGACGAAAGUCUGACGCAGCGACGCCGCGUGUGCGAUGAAGGCCUUUGGGUCGUAAAGCACUGUCGACCGGGACGAAAACUCACGGACUAAUACUUCGUGAGUCUGACGGUACUGGUAAAGGAAGCACCGGCUAACUCUGUGCCAGCAGCCGCGGUAAUACAGAGGGUGCAAGCGUUAAUCGGAAUUACUGGGCGUAAAGCGCGCGUAGGUGGUUUGUUAAGUUGGAUGUGAAAUCCCCGGGCUCAACCUGGGAACUGCAUUCAAAACUGACUGACUAGAGUAUGGUAGAGGGUGGUGGAAUUUCCUGUGUAGCGGUGAAAUGCGUAGAUAUAGGAAGGAACACCAGUGGCGAAGGCGACCACCUGGACUGAUACUGACACUGAGGUGCGAAAGCGUGGGGAGCAAACAGGAUUAGAUACCCGUGUAGUCCCUGAGCGGGCUGGCAAGGCGCAU
rnacentral:rRNA from 1 species